rnacentral:lncRNA from 1 species
AUUAAUUUUAGCCACUUUUAACCAAAUGAUUUCCAAAAGUAUAUUUUCCUUUUUAAAUCCAAAAUUAUUAUUCUUUUUCCUUCUACUCUUAUCUUCUGUUUUUAUUGUUUUGAAAUGGUUUUUACUUAGGAACUCUUUCUCAAAGGCCAGCAGCAUCUCCAACCAGUGAGGAAUCUGUUUCUCAAACUUUCUACCAUUCUCUUCUCUCUCUGUCCUGCUUAGAUCCAGUUUGUUUUCUUCAUUCAAGACAGUAUGAAAUAGCCAUCAAAGAGUUUCUAGAGAAAAACCUGUCACUUUUUGGACUAUAAGAAGUGUUGACCAUUUUGCUGUUCACAGUGAGCAUUUUAUUUGCCUAUAUAUUCCACUCUUUAAUACACAUAAUGCAUUCUGAAUUGUCACAUUUAAUUAUAAACAAUAUCUUUGUUGACUAUCUCAUUUACUGAGGUAACAUAUUAUUAACUAUGAAGAUUGUUACCAGAGAGAACAUACAGAGGGAAGAUGACAAACAGAAAUCAUGAUAAAUCAUAACAUCAAUGAAACCAGAAAGCUGAUAUGUUAGAUAUUAUAAUAAUCAUUUUCAUGAUAAACUUAAGAUACACACACUAAUCUUUGCCACACUAAUCUCUUUAUGUAGGUAUAUGAUGUUGAUAUCUGUAGAUGAACAGACAUGGUCUCACCAGGACAGGGUUUGAGUCUAAUGGUCUUCUGUGCAUGAUUGACGUGGUUCUUCACGCUGCAGCUGAUGUCUCCAUCAGUUCCCUCAUCCAGAUCAAUGCUGCUGUUUCCAUCCAUCAGUGGAUCUCCAUUCAGAGUCCAGCUGAACACCCUCAUCCCCCCACUGGAGGAGCAGAUGAUUGACACUUCCACUGAGCCAAUAGGAGCUGGAGGGAGGGACACAUCACAGUCACAUGAAUCAGACUGAUCAAAACUGCAGUUAAACUCCAGACCUGAAAAACAAAACACACACAAUAUAAUGUACCAAAAUCUAUAAACAUCAUUCAUUAAAAUCAGACACAAAUUACACAAACAUUCACAGAAUUAAAGUUCAACUGAAGAAACACAUCAGACAGACUCUUGAUCUGAUCUCAGUGCAUCUCAAUAAUGCUCAUCUUCAUCAUAAGCAGAUUUUUGUGAUUUGUGUGUCUCCAGACUUACUACUAAUUAGCAGGAUACUGAACAUUAUCACAUUACUGGACAUAUUUAACUCUUUUUAGUGUGUAAUAAAAAAAAUAACUGUUAAAAUAAAACAUUCAUUUUGACACUGUAAUAUCAGUUGUUUUUUUUUUGUAUGGCCUCAGUCAAAAAGCAAAUCUAAAUGUUGAUUGUAUUCAAAUGUAACUAUCAUGCUUUCGCUGUUUGCAACUAUCAUGCUUUCGCUGUUUGCAAACACUUUAUGCAUUUUUACAUUAUUCUGACAAUAAAUUGACUUUGUCAGGCACUUUCUGUCCAAUUCCAUUAACCUGUGACAUUUCUCUAGUUUAUAAAUAAUGUUUGAUCUUUCUUUACAUCAGAUUUAAAUGGACUGACAUCAUUUGAUGAAUCCUUCCUCAAACUUUCAGCACAACAGACAUGAAGAAAGAAACACACACUUCCUCUCACAUUUUAAACACUCCACUAAUAUAAACUGUACAGACCAGAAAAGUCUAUGACUAGAUCACUACAGACUCUUAUUGUAAUACUGCAACUAGACUGUUAAAUUAAUGUGCUAAUUGCUGUCAAUAAUCAUCGG